rnacentral:rRNA from 1 species
UAGUCCACGCCCUAAACGAUGCUAACUCGAUAUUUGGAUCUUGAAUCUGAGUGUCUAAGCGAAAGCGAUAAGUUAGCCACCUGGGGAGUACGUUCGCAAGAAUGAAACUCAAAGGAAUUGACGGGGGCCCGCACAAGCGGUGGAGCAUGUGGUUUAAUUCGAUGAUACGCGAGGAACCUUACCAGGGCUUAAAUGUAGUAUGACAGAUUUGGAAACAGAUUUUCCUUCGGGACGAGAAACAAGGUGCUGCAUGGUUGUCGUCAGCUCGUGCCGUGAGGUGUUGGCUUAAGUGCCGCAACGAGCGCAACCCCUAUUGUUAGUUGCCAGCGAGUAAUGUCGGGGACUCUAACAAGACUGCCGGCGUAAGCCGCGAGGAAGGUGGGGACGACGUCAAAUCAUCAUGGCCUUUAUGCCUAGGGCUACACACGUGCUACAAUGGGUGAGACAGAGGGUUGCCAAGCCGCGAGGUGGAGCUAAUCUCAGAAACUCACUCCCAAUUCGGAUUGG